UUUUUUAAUUAUACAACUUCUUGAUGCACAUUUUAAAUUUUAUUGUUGACUUCUUCCAUAGAUGUAGGAAUAGUACUCCUAUGAUUCAUGUCAAAAAUAUGUGAGAUUUCUAUCCUAAGAGUACUAAUAAGCUUGUGAAGAUCUGGAAUAGUUAUAAAUUUAUUCUCACUUUUGCUACGAGUAUCUUGUAUAAUUUUUUCUUUUAUAGACAAUUCAGACAAAUUCAAAAAGUCAAAUUUGAGGAAAGUAAUCUGCAACCUCUAAUAUCAAAUAAAAAUUUAUACAAAAAAAAACUAAUUCAUUCUUUUUAAAAAAAAAAUGAAUAUUAAAAAACUAAAUUCUUUAUUUAAAGGUAGAUAGUCUAUAAUCUUCAAACACAAUAAUAAAAGUAGAGUAAUCUACUCAUUCUUGAAAGAAGAUAAGGAUAAUA
rnacentral:lncRNA from 1 species